AGUGAACGCUGGCGGCAGGCCUAACACAUGCAAGUCGAACGGCUGAACAGUGCUUGCUUGUGGUUUCAGCUGGGGAGUGGUGGGUAGUGCCGGGGAAUCUGCGUAUUUAUUUUUUAGUACGGCCUGAAGCAGGGGCUAAUACGCCAUUAGCGCAUACGACCUAAGGGUGGGAGCUGCGGACCUCACGCUAUCACGUGAUCCUAUGUCGGAUUAGCUAGUUGGUGGGGUAAAGGCCUACCAAGGCGACGAUCCGUAACUGGUCUGAGAGGAUGAUCAGCCACACUGGAACUGAGACACGGUCCAGACUCCUACGGGAGGCAGCAGUGGGGAAUAUUGGACAAUGGGCGAAAGCCUGAUCCAGCCAUGCCGCGUGUGUGAAGAAGGCCUUCGGGUUGCAAAGCCCUUUUGGUUGGGAGGAAAAGCAGUAAGUUAAUACCUCGCUGUUCUGACGGUACCCAAAGAAUAAGCACCGGCUAACUUCGUG
rnacentral:rRNA from 1 species